rnacentral:lncRNA from 1 species
GCUCUGCUGAAGCUCGUGUCGUCGUUCGGGUUCUGGUGGGUGGUGCGGGUCUACGGCGUGCCGCUGCUGAUCGUGAACGCUUGGCUGGUCCUGAUCACCUACCUGCAGCACACCCACCCGGCGCUGCCGCACUACGACUCGACGGAGUGGGACUGGCUGCGGGGGGCGCUGGCCACCAUGGACCGCGACUACGGCAUCCUCAACCGCGUGUUCCACAACAUCACGGACACGCACGUGGCGCACCACCUAUUCUCCACCAUGCCGCACUACCACGCCAUGGAGGCCACCAAGGCGAUCAAGCCCAUCCUCGGCGAGUACUACCAGUUCGACCCCACCCCCGUCGCCAAGGCCACAUGGCGCGAGGCCAAGGAGUGCAUCUACGUCGAGCCCGAGGACCGCAAGGGGGUCUUCUGGUACAGCAACAAGUUCUAGCCGUCAAGAUCCAUCAACGGUGCUCGAGAAAGAACUCAGAGAAGAGAUCCUACCAAGUAAUUCCAUCCAUCUACCUACAGUCAUAUGGUUAGUCUUUAGAUAGCAGAGGGCAUUUGGGCACAAAAGAAGACUACUAUUACCGUGCCAGUGCUAGAAGAGCUGAGUGGUGCAAGGAAGAGUAGCGUGUCCGUGACUUUGGUCAGUUCCGUCUUUACUUUUUCUCUGUGUUCCAGUCGUCGGCUUAGGUUUGGCCGGCUGUCGUCGUCGGUGUCCGUGGCCGUGGACAUGGCCGCGUGUGUUGUGUGUGCGUCUGUCAUUGCAUUGGCGUCAUCUCCCCCCGUCCGUGUCAUGUUGUUGUAGACCAUUUCGUGUUUAUGGCGGAAUAACUGAUCGUCGAAGGAAGGGCAACUUUUUUGAGUACUCCAGUUUAGAUGAUGUUCUUUCUCGUGAUUUUUAUCUCGUCUCUGGAAAUGGAUGGUUGCUCGCUUGCUCUGUCAAGCAAGGUUGUCUACUCCGUCCCGCGGGCCGCGGCGGAACGAGAUCCUCUGACGUACAACAAACUACUGCAGAGGGACGUCCAACACGGAUCACCGUCCGUGCAGCAUCCAAUGGCAACGGCUAAACACUGGCAGAACAUAACGAAGCCAUCGGCCCAUGAGCGUGAUGCGGCCCAGUCCAAUGAGAUGUUGCUAGGACGAGAAAACGCACGAGGUCGACGGAACACGAUAGCUUAAGUGAACACGGUGCCCUGCUCAUCGAUUUGUACGUAAAUUGCAAAUCUCUGCCUUUCUUUUGCCAUCUUGAAAUUUGCUUCAAUAAUAAGAGUGGAAUUAGUCUAACUAUCGUCAUCAGAUUUGUUUUGAAUUCGAUAAAUUUUUGUGCAACUUUGGGUCGAUCUUGUAAUUAGAGUAACUCCAACGCGCUAACACAAAUGAUCCGUGUGUAUCCGUUUGCAUCGAAACAAACGAAAACACCGGUCUAACGUGCCAACUCAAGCCCAAAAUCAAUCCACGCGUUGUUCGUCUGGACACAUUUCCCGCCCAAUCUGGCCACUUCUUCGUCGCUGUCCAAUCUGGCCACCCUCGCCCGCUCCCUCACCGGCGACAACAAACCCUAUCUAUCCCGCGUGUUCGCCAUGGGUUCCUUCAACAACAAAGGCAAGGGCAAGGCCAAGUUUGACGCUUGCGCCAGCUCGUCCCGUGGGCCGCCGCAACCGCCUCCGGACGCCUUCGCGCUAGUGCUGUGUGUAGGGAGGGGUUGCUGGCCACGGGACAGGCUCCACUUCCCGGUGCAUCGCUCGCUGCACCACUCGUAUUGUCGCGCGUCACUGUCGUGGCCCGAUGUCAAUCUCUCCCACGUUCUGCAGGUUGACCCCCACUCGUACUACCGCGUCGUCGUGCAGCAGAGUCGCUGGCGCCCCAGACGGCGGAGGAGGCAGCGCGGGCGAUGCGGCAGCAGGCCUUCCCGGAGGGGGGAGGGGGGCGCCGCACUUUGUCAUCCUCAUCGACGCGGAUGACGACACAUAGGGUAGUGUGCUGGACAGCCGCUAGGUGGCAUCAAUCUUAUUUUUUACAGUUUUUAAUUUAUGUUUAAUUAAAUUUAAGUGAACUUUGGGUGGCACAUACGCGUUCGAUCGGUCGACCAAAUGGAAAAAGCGGGAAAAAUCCGCACCCAUGUGCGUCGGCGCACUGGAGUUGCAUCUUUGCGCGGCGAGUGAAUGGCGACGAUGAGUCUGGCCAAGCGCUCCUUCGGCGAGCGAACGACGACGAUGAGUGAACUGGACGACGACGGAGAAGUGGCCAGAUUGGGCGAGAAAUGCGUCUAGAUGAACAGCACGCGGACUGAUUUUAGGCUUGGGUCGGCAUGUUGGACCGGUGUUUUCAUCCGUUUUGAUGCAAACGGACAUGCACGGCUCAUUUGUGUCGGCGCGUUGAAGUUGCCCUAAUUACAAGAUCGAUGCAGAGUGGCGCAAAGCUUUAUCGAAUUCAAAAUAAAUCUGAUGACGACAGCUCGACUAAUUCCACUCUUAUUAUUAAAGCAAAUCUCAAGAUGGCAAAAGAAAGGCAGAGAUUUACAAUUUACUUACAAAUCGACGAGCAGGGCACCGUGUUCUCUUAAGCUAUCACGUUUUUGUCAUCCUCGCACCAUCUCAUUGGACUGGGCCGCAUCGUGCUCAUGGGCCGAUGGCAUAGCUAUGUUUUGCCGGUAUUUAGCCAUUGCCAUUGGAUGCUGCACGGACGGUGAUCUGUGUUGAACGUCCCUCUGCAGUAGUUUUGUUCUACGUUAGAGGAUCUCGUUCCGCCGCGGCAGCCUAUGUCUUUAAUCUCUUUGCUGCACACAAGAGUGCUUUCGGUCGACAUUUAUGCGAUAUUUCGUUGUGCUUGGUACGUCCAAGUCCUGUCUCACUGUCACGUUGUGGUCCAAUCUGGAAGCUGUGGUCAGCGUUGUUAGCGGUCCAAAUCCAGCAAUCUUGCACAGUGUAAUGCUGAAAGCUGCGUCUGAUCAUCGCAAGCAGCCCAGUGUGCGCCAAUAAUCCUGGAAACUGUGUUUGUGAAUGUGAGGCCAGAUUUUGGAGCCUCGACUUGUCUCUCUUGCAAACGGGAGCUACUACCGCCAAUUUAUUUCUCGCCUAUGCCUGUAGUACUACGCAAAAUUGAUGUGCUUGGCCGGGGGCCGGGGCAAUAUUCCCGGUCCCUCCCAUCCCAUGUGCCAUGAGUUCAAUUCAAUGCACGCACUACGGAUUUCCAGCCGAGAUUUGGCCGAAACGUAGGGUCAACCGGGCAAGUGCAAUGCCAUCGUGGUGCUACCGUACGCAUUUAGAUGCGUGCCGUGCCAGGGAGCAGGAGGUUUACUUCGCCUCGAUCUUAACGGAGCGCCUCAAUGGAUGGGGGAGCAACUCAAUAACUCAUGCUGAUGGCACACGGGAGGGAAGACAGACGCCCAUCCGUGUCCGUCCUGCCGACCCGAGAACGCACGCAACAAUAGCUCACACAGUACAUCACAUAAAUCUCGAGUGUUUAACCAAAAACUAUCACAAUUGACGAAAACGUGAAGAAAAACUACCACUCUACGAUUUUGUGCGAAAACUAUCAAAUUUGUCCUAAACCGUGAUAAAAAACUACCAAGUCGCGAAAUCGUUCGCUUCGUUCGCGCUAACCCCGAAUCUGACCGGUUGGGCCCGCGAAUCAGUUGCCACGCUGGCCAACGGACGGCCGCCGCGCGUUGAUGGUCGUUAACGGCCCGUCCGCUGUCGGAACGGCGGCUGUCGGUGGGCCAAUAAGUUAGAGCGAGCUCAGCCACUCGCUCAUUCUCUUCCUCAUCACUCGCUCUCACUCGUCCUCAUCCUCUCCCUCUCCCUGGUGCUCUGAGCUAGGUCAGCCUAUCGCCGUCGCCGCCGCGGCGAUUGCUGCCGGUAGAAAGUUGAGGAUGCCAUCCUGAAAUGACGUGGAGAGCUCGGACGAGGACAUCAACAUGGUUUCAAUGGAUCCUCAGCUCUUUGUAAGUGCAUAAUGGUGGAACAGAGUUAGGGUUAGGGUUAGUUCAUCAAAAUAGGAGAUUCCAAGUUGCUUUUGGUUUGAUUCGAAGUUUCUUUUGCAGGAAACCCCUGACAGUGUGGUGGAACCAUCUUUCUGUGGUUCAUACACUCAAUCUGAGCCGAUGUGCAUGAUGCAUCAUCAGAGGCCGAAGAAGAUGGUGGCUUUUGAAGGUGAUUUGACUGGGAGGCGAUUCCUGGGUUGUCCUGUGCAGCAGGUAUUAAAUCUUGCACGCUAACUUGUUUUGCUGGUGGAGAUGUGUGAUAUGUUUUGCUGCUGGAGAUGUGUGGUGCAGAGAUGUGUGAUGUGCAGAGAUGUGUGCUGUAGUUUAGAACUGAAACUUGAAAGUGCCAUACAUAUGAAAGCUAUAUGUGCAAGUAGAUCUUUAGUUAACUGAAUUCAAUACAUGACUGAACCUGAGAACACCUACAUGCAGAGAUCUUUAGUGUACUGUGAACUGAAUGUAUUUGUUAGGUGUUAACUGAAUAUAGCUGUUAACUGAAAAAGAACAGAGUUAAAUGAAUUUAUAUCUAUUGCUAAAUAUUGUUGUUAACUGAAUUUAUCUCUGAUGCUAAGUCAGGUGUUGUGUGCUUACUAUGAAAGAAUUAUGUUUGCAUAAUUCAGAGAGCAUAUUGAUUUAAACAAAGGGUUUCAGUUAAAUGAAAUGACUUUAUGACUUUAGUUAUCUCUACUAAGUUUGUUACUAAGUGCUUUGUGCUUAAUUAUAAAUAAUUGCUUCUGUAGGAUGUAGGUGUGAACUGUGGGGUUGUGGAGUGGGUGGAUGGUCAUUGGCCAGAGAUUCUACAAAGGUGCCUAACAAGGAUUUGGGACAUGUACCAUGAGCGAACUUGGGGAGGGUGAAGGACAAACAAGCCCAUGAGAAAGAGGUGGCCAAGCUAAAGAAGGAAAUUGAUUUCCUAUCAAACAACUACAGCCAGUUGGUGGAAGAUGUAUCCAAGCAUUUUGACUAUCAAGAUGGCAAGAUGUCUCAUGACAUGGACUAUACCAGACAGGCAAUCAAUGAUCUAAAUGCAAAGAAGAAACAACUUGAGGAUCAAGCAAAGAUUGAGAUAAGUAUGGAAAAGAUGAAGCUUGCCAAGGAGCAAAGGUGCAUUCUUCAAAGCCAAGCAGAUAUCAUUCAGAACAUGAGGAAGACCAUGAAGAAAGUGGAGGGGGAUAGGGACCUACUUAAGCAAGAGAAGAAGAAGCUGGAGUAUCUGAUUACUGAUCUGCUCAAUGCUGGGCAUGCCAUCAAAGAUAAGCUGGAGAGGAUCAAUGCAAUUAUGAAUGAGUGAAGUGCUUGUUGUGUGGGUUAAGUAAUCAGUACGCCUAUAUAUAUCUGGCCUUGGAAUGUCAUGCAUGUUAGGUUUAUAUUUGGAAAAGUUUCAUGUGCUUUCAGAAUGGUAUGAGGGAGGGAGGUACUCUUAUGGUUUAAGAACUAGUUGGUUUUAUCUAAGAUGUAAUGACUUUUAUGUUAAGACCUACUAUGCUAAGUGAGUACUCAUGCUAAGUUAAUUAAGUAAGAAUGUUUUAUCUAUGAUGAGGCUAUUUUACUCUGCAUAUAUCAUGUGUGGAUAACUGACAGUAGUGACAUAGUUGGAAGUAGCAAGUAGCAAGUAACAUAUAUAGCAAGUAGCUUAGAUAGCCUGCCAAAUAACUUAACAUAUGUAGCAAGUAGCAAGUAACAUAUAUAGAUAGUCUGACAUAGAUAGAUAGUACUGCCAUUCAUAGUCUGACAUAUAUAGCAUCUAGUAGUAGAUAGUGUCUGACAUAGAUAGCAACUAGUAGUAGAUAGUGUCUGACGAAACUGAACCUAGGAACUUACUGAACUUACGAAAGUUCAGGACUGACGAAACUGAAUAUUUUUGCGCUAAAGUAACUGAAGUCAGCACUUCACUCCUCCUUCUUCAGCAUCUUCAGGCAGUGGGAGCAACGCACCGCAGUCACGGCCACCCUCUUCUUCUUGCCCGGCGUCGGCUCCACCACAUCUUCCUCGCCGCCAUCUUGUUCUUGCUUCAUGACGAUGCCGUCUGGGAGAUCGGCGACCUCCGGCAGUGCAUCCACGUGGAUUGGGAGGUUCCUGUCCCCCUCCACGGUGUCGAGGACGGGAGCCAGCAGCUGCACUUCAGGCUCGUCGUCAGAGAGGACGACGACCUCAUCCACCUCGUCGUCAGAGGACUCGUCCUCAUCAUCGUCACUGGACUCGUCGUCAGAAGACUCGCCGUCAGAGUCGUCAUAGGGCCCAAGGACCCAUGGAUUGCGCCUCUCCCAGUAGGCGUUGUUGAUUGGGGCUGGGAGAGCGAGGACGGCGUCGGUGACGUGGUCCGCGGCGACCGACGGCGUGGUGGAUGAGCGGUGAUAACCCACAAGUAUAGGAGAUCGCAACAGUUUUUAAGGGUAAAGUAUUCAACCCAAAUUUAUUGAUUCGACACAAGGGGAGCCAAAGAAUACUCUCAAGUAUUAGCAGCUGAGUUGUCAAUUCAACCACACUUGGAAACUUAAUAUCUGCAACAAAGUAUUUAGUAGCAACGUAAUAUGAUAGUAGUGGUAACGGUAGCAAAAGGUAACAGUAGUAAAAGCAAUGUUUUUGGUAUUUUGUAGUGAUGAUAGCAAUAGCAACGGAAAAGUAAAUAAGCGAAGAACAAUAUAUGCAAAGCUCGUAGGCAAUGGACCAGUGAUGGAGAAUUAUGCCGGAUGCGGUUCAUCAUGUAACAGUCAUAACCUAGGGUGACACAGAACUAGCUCCAGUUAAUCAAUGUAAUGUAGGCAUGUAUUCCGAAUAUAGUCAUACGUGCUUAUGGAAAAGAACUUGCAUGACAUCUUUUGUCCUACCCUCCCGUGGCAGCGGGGUCCUUACGGAAACUAAGGGAUAUUAAGGCCUCAUUUUAAUAGAGUACCUAAACAAAGCAUUAACACAUAGAGAAUACAUGAACUCCUCAAACCACGGUCAUCACCGGUAAGUAUCUCGAUUAUUGUCACUUCGGGGUUAACGGAUCAUAACACAUAAUAGGUGACUAUAGACUUGCAAGAUAGGAUCAAGAACUCUCAUAUAUUGAUGAAAACAUAAUAAGUUCAGAUCUGAAAUCAUGGCACUCGGGCCCUAGUGACAAGCAUUAAGCAUAGCAAAGUCAUAGCAACAUCAAUCUCAGAACAUAGUGGAUACUAGGGAUCAAACCCUAACAAAACUAACUCGAUUACAUGAUUUCCAACCCAUCACCAUCUAGCAAGCCUACGGUGGAAUUACUCACGCACGACAGUGAGCAUCAUGAAAUUGGUGAUGAAGGAUGGUUGAUGAUGACGAUGGCGACGGAUUCCCCUCUCCAGAGCCCCGAACGGAAUCCAGAUCAGCCCUCCUGAGAGGUUUUAGGGCUUGGCGGCGGCUCCGUAUCGUAAAACGCGAUGAAUCCUUCUCCCUGAUUUUUUUCUCCCCGAAACACAAUAUAUAGAGUUGGAGUUGGAGUCGGAGGAGUUCCAGGAGGCCCACGAGGUAGGGGGCACGCCCGCACCCUCGUGGACAGGUGGUGGGCCCCCUGGCCUUCAUCUUUUGUAGGUAUUUUAUAUAUUUUCCAAAAAGUUGCUCCAUGAAGUUUUAGGUCAUUCCGAGAACGUUUGUGUCUGCACAUAAAUAACACCAUGGUAAUUCUGCUGAAAAGAUCGUCAGUCCGGGUUAGUUCCAUUCAAAUCAUGCAAGUUAGAGUCCAAAACUGUUGGGUUUCGUAGUAAUUUCAAAAAAUUUCCUACGCACACGCAAGAUCAUGUGACGCAUAGCAACAAGAGGGGAGAGUGCUGUCUACGUACCCACGCAGACCGACUACGGAAGAGAUGACACGACGUAGAGGAAGUAGUCGUACGUCUUCACGAUCCAACCGAUCAAGCACCGAAACUACGGCACCUCCGAGUUCGAGCACACGUUCAGCUCGAUGACGAUCCCCUGACUCCGAUCCAGCAAAGUGUCGGGGAAGAGUUCCGUCAGCACGACGGCGUGGUGACGAUCUUGAUGUACUACAGCAACAGGGCUUCGCCUAAACUCCGCUACAGUAUUAACGAGGAAUAUGGUGGCUGGGGGCACCGCACACGGUUAAGGAAUAGAUCACGUGGAUCAACUUGUGUGUUCUAGGGUGCCUCUGCCUCAGUAUAUAAAGGACUAGAGGGGGGAGGCUGGCCGGCCAAGGUGUGGCGCGCCAGGAGAGUCCUNNNNNNNNNNUCAGCACGACGGCGUGGUGACGAUCUUGAUGUACUACAGCAGCAGGGCUUCGCCUAAACUCCGCUACAGUAUUAUCGAGGACUAUGGUGGCUGGGGGCGCCGCACACGGCUAAGGAAUAGAUCACGUGGAUCAACUUGUGUGUUCUAGGGUGCCUCUGCCUCAGUAUAUAAAGGACUAGAGGGGGGAGGCUGGCCGGCCAAGGUGUGGCGCGCCAGGAGAGUCCUACUCCCUCUGGGAGUAGGAUUCCCCCCCCCCCCCCCCAAUCCUAGUUGGAAUAGGAUUCGCGGAGGGGGAAAAGAGAGAGAGGGGGCCGGCCACCUCUCCUAGUCCUAAUAGGACUAGGGGAAGGGGGAGGCGCGCAGGCCAUGUAGGGCUGCCUCUUCUCUUUUCCACUAAGGCCCAUCAUGGCCAAUUUAGCUCCCGGGGGGUUCCGGUAACCUUCCCGGUACUCCGGUAAAAUCCCGAUUUCACCCGGAACACUUCCGAUAUCCAAACAUAGGCUUCCAAUAUAUCAAUAUUUACGUCUCGACCAUUUCGAGACUCCUCAUCAUGUCCGUGAUCACAUCCGGGAUUCCGAACAACCUUCGGUACAUCAAAAUGCAUAAACUCAUAAUAUAAUUGUCAUCGUAACCUUAAGCGUGCGGACCCUACGGGUUCGAGAACAAUGUAGACAUGACCGAGACACGUCUCCGGUCAAUAACCAAUAGCGGGACCUGGAUGCCCAUAUUGGCUCCUACAUAUUCUACGAAGAUCUUUAUCGGUCAGACCGCAUAACAACAUACGUUGUCCCCUUUGUCAUCGGUAUGUUACUUGCCCGAGAUUCGAUCGUCGGUAUCCAAUACCUAGUUCAAUCUCGUUACCGGCAAGUCUCUUUACUCGUUCCAUAAUACAUCAUCUCACAACUAACAUAUUAGUUUUAAUGCUUGCAAGGCUUAUGUGAUGUGCAUUACCGAGAGGGCCCAGAGAUACCUCUCCGACAAUCGGAGUGACAAAACCUAAUCUCGAAAUACGCCAACCCAACAUGUACCUUUGGAGACACCUGUAAUGCUCCUUUAUAAUCACCCAGUUAUGUUGUGACGUUUGGUAGCACCCAAAGUGUUCCUCCGGCAAACGGGAGUUGCAUAAUCUCAUAGUUAUAGGAACAUGUAUAAGUCAUGAAGAAAGCAAUAGCAACAUACUAAACGAUCGGGUGCUAAGCUAAUGGAAUGGGUCAUGUUAAUCAGAUCAUUCAACUAAUGAUGUGACCUCGUUAAUUAAAUAACAACUCAUUGUUCAUGGUCAGGAAACAUAACCAUCUUUGAUUAAUGAGCUAGUCAAGUAGAGGCAUACUAGUGACACUUUGUUUAUCUAUGUAUUCACACAUGUAUUAUGUUUCCGGUUAAUACAAUUCUAGCAUGAAUAAUAAACAUUUAUCAUGAUUAUAAGGAAAUAAAUAAUAACUUUAUUAUUGCCUCUAGGGCAUAUUUCCUUCAGUCUCCCACUUGCACUAGAGUCAAUAAUCUAGAUUACAUUGUAAUGAUUCUAACACCCAUGGAGCCUUGGUGCUGAUCAUGUUUUGCUCGUGGAAGAGGCUUAGUCUACGGGUCUGCAACAUUCAGAUCCGUAUGUAUCUUGCAAAUCUCUAUGUCUCCCACCUGAACUAGAUCCCGGAUGGAGUUGAAGCGUCUCUUGAUGUGUUUGGUCCUUUUGUGAAAUCUGGAUUCCUUUGCCAAGGCAAUUGCACCAGUAUUGUCACAAAAGAUUUUCAUUGGACCCGAUGCACUAGGUAUGACACCUAGAUCGGAUAUGAACUCCUUCAUCCAGACUCCUUCGUUCGCUGCUUCCGAAGCAGCUAUGUACUCUGCUUCACAUGUAGAUCCCGCUACGACGCUUUGUUUAGAACUGCACCAACUGACAGCUCCACCGUUCAAUGUAAACACGUAUCCGGUUUGCGAUUUAGAAUCGUCCGGAUCAGUGUCAAAGCUUGCAUCAACGUAACUUUUUACGAUGAGCUCUUUGUCACCUCCAUAUACGAGAAACAUAUCCUUAGUCCUUUUCAGGUAUUUCAGGAUGUUCUUGACUGCUGUCCAGUGAUCCACUCCUAGAUUACUUUGGUACCUCCCUGCUAGACUUAUAGCAAGGCACACAUCGGGUCUGGUACACAGCAUUGCAUACAUGAUAGAUCCUAUGGCUGAUGCAUAGGGAACAUCUUUCAUAUUCUCUCUAUCUUCUGCAGUGGUCGGGCAUUGAGUCUUACUCAAUUUCACACCUUGUAACACAGGCAAGAAUCCUUUCUUUGCUUGAUCCAUUUUGAACUUCUUCAAAAUUUUGUCAAGGUAUGUUGUUUGUGAAAGUCCAAUUAAGCGUUUUGAUCUAUCUCUAUAAAUCUUUAUGCCUAAUAUGUAAGCAGCUUCACCGAGGUCUUUCAUUGAAAAACUCUUAUUCAAGUAUCCCUUUAUGCUAUCCAGAAAUUCUAUAUCAUUUCCAAUUAGUAAUAUGUCAUCCACAUAUAAUAUUAGAAAUGCUACAGAGCUCCCACUCACUUUCUUGUAAAUACAGGCUUCUCCGAAAGUCUGUAUAAAACCAAAUGCUUUGAUCACACUAUCAAAGCGUUUAUUCCAACUCCGAGAGGCUUGCACCAGUCCAUAAAUGGAUCGCUGGAGCUUGCACACUUUGUUAGCUCCCUUUGGAUCGACAAAACCUUCCGGUUGCAUCAUAUACAACUCUUCUUCCAGAAAUCCAUUCAGGAAUGCAGUUUUGACAUCCAUCUGCCAAAUUUCAUAAUCAUAAAAUGCGGCAAUCGCUAACAUGAUUCGGAUAGACUUAAGCAUCGCUACGGGUGAGAAGGUCUCAUCGUAGUCAAUCCCUUGAACUUGCCGAAAACCUUUCGCGACAAGUCGAGCUUUGUAGACAGUAACAUUACCAUCAGCGUCAGUCUUCUUCUUAAAGAUCCAUUUGUUCUCAAUUGCUUGCCGAUCAUCGGGCAAGUCAACCAAAGUCCAUACUUUGUUCUCAUACAUGGAUCCCAUCUCAGAUUUCAUGGCUUCAAGCCACUUUGCGGAAUCUGGGCUCACCAUCGCUUCUUCAUAGUUCGUAGGUUCAUCAUGAUCUAGUAGCAUGACUUCCAGAACAGGAUUACCGUACCACUCUGGCGCGGAUCUUACUCUGGUUGAUCUAUGAGGUUCAGUAGUAUCUUGAUCUGAAGUUUCAUGAUCAUUAUCAUUAGCUUCCUAACUAACUGGUGUAGGUGUCACUAAAACAGUUUUCUGUGAUGUACUACUUUCCAGUAAGGGAGCAGGUACAGUUACCUCGUCAAGUUCUACUUUCCUCCCACUCACUUCUUUCGAGAGAAACUCCUUCUCUAGAAAGGAUCCAUUCUUAGCAACGAAUGUCUUGCCUUCGGAUCUGUGAUAGAAGGUGUACCCAACAGUCUCCUUAUGGGUAUCCUAUGAAGACACAUUUUUCCGAUUUGGGUUCGAGCUUAUCAGGUUGAAGCUUUUUCACAUAAGCAUCGCAGCCCCAAACUUUAAGAAACGACAACUUUGGUUUCUUGCCAAACCAUAGUUCAUAAGGUGUCGUCUCAACGGAUUUUGAUGGUGCCCUAUUUAACGUGAAUGCGGCCGUCUCUAGAGCGUAUCCCCAAAACGAUAGCGGUAAAUCAGUAAGAGACAUCAUAGAUCGCACCAUAUCUAGUAAAGUACUAUUACGAUGUUCGGACACACCAUUACGCUGUGGUGUUCCGGGUGGCGUGAGUUGCGAAACUAUUCCACAGUUUUUCAAAUGUACACCAAACUCGUAACUCAAAUAUUCUCCUCCACGAUCAGAUCGUAGAAAUUUUAUUUUCUUGUUACGAUGAUUUUCAACUUCACUCUGAUAUUCUUUGAACUUUUCAAAUGUUUAAGAUUUAUGUUUCAUUAAGUAGAUAUACCCAUAUCUGUUUAAAUCAUCUGUGAAGGUGAGAAAAUAACGAUAUCCGCCACGAGCCUCAAUAUUCAUCGGACCACAUACAUCGGUAUGUAUGAUUUCCAACAAAUCUGUUGCUCUCUUCAUAGUACCGGAGAACGGUGUUUUAGUCAUCUUGCCCAUGAGGCACGGUUCGCAAGUACCAAGUGAUUCAUAAUCAAGUGGUUCCAAAAGUCCAUCAGUAUGGAGUUUCUUCAUGCGCUUUACACCGAUAUGACCUAAACGACAGUGCCACAAAUAAGUUGCACUUUCAUUAUCAACUCUGCAUCUUUUGGCUUCAACAUUAUGAAUAUGUGUAUUACUACUAUCGAGAUUCAAUAAGAAUAGACCACUCUUCAAGGGUGCAUGACCAUAAAAGAUAUUACUCAUAUAAAUAGAACAACCAUUAUUCUCUGAUUUAAAUGAAUAACCGUCUCGCAUUAAACAAGAUCCAGAUAUAAUGUUCAUGCUCAACGCUGGCACCAAAUAACAAUUAUUUAGGUCUAAUACUAAUCCCGAAGGUAGAUGUAGAGGUAGCGUGCCGACCGCGAUCACAUCGACUUUGGAACCGUUUCCCACGCGCAUCGUCACCUCGUCCUUUGCCAGUUCCCGCUUAUUCCGUAGUCCCUGUUUCGAGUUGCAAAUAUUAGCAACAGAACCAGUAUCAAAUACCCAGGUGCUACUGCGAGCUCUAGUAAGGUACACAUCAAUAACAUGUAUAUCACAUAUACCUUUGUUCACCUUGCCAUCCUUCUUAUCCGCCAAAUACUUGGGGCAGUUCCGCUUCCAGUGACCAGUCUGCUUGCAGUAGAAGCACUCAGUUUCAGGCUUAGGUCCAGACUUGGGUUUCUUCUCCUAAGCAGCAACUUGCUUGCUGUUCUUCUUGAAGUUCCCCUUCUUCUUCACUUUGCCCUUUUUCUUGAAACUAGUGGUCUUGUUAACCUCAACACUUGAUGCUCCUUCUUGAUUUCUACCCCCGCAGCUCUGAGUAGAGAUACCAGAUACGUAUAAUGGAGCAACAAUUUAGAAUAGCUCCAAGUAGAACAGUUAUUUGGAAUAGCUCCAAAUAGAAUGUGGUAGCUGCAUCUAGGAGAUGACAUAGAGAUUUGUAAAGCACACACGGAUCUGAAAGGUUCAGACCCGUUGACUAUAACCUCUCUCACAAGCAUAACAUGAUCAAACCCAGAACUCUUUGGGUGUUAGUCACAUGGGGAUGUGACCUUGAGUGUUAAUCAUAUAUCGAUGUGAACUGGAUUAUUGACUCUAGUGCAAGUGGGAGACUGUUGGAAAUCUGCCCUAGAGGCAAUAAUAAAUUAGUUAUUAUUAUAUUUCCUUGUUCAUGAUAAUCGUUUAUUAUCCAUGCUAGAAUUGUAUUGAUAGGAAACUCAGAUACAUGUGUGGAUACAUAGACAACACCAUGUCCCUAGUAAGCCUCUAGUUGACUAGCUCGUUGAUCAAUAGAUGGUUACGGUUUCCUGACCAUGGACAUUGGAUGUCAUUGAUAACGGGAUCACAUCAUUAGGAGAAUGAUGUGAUGGACAAGACCCAAUCCUAAGCAUAGCACAAAGAUCGUGUAGUUCGUAUGCUAAAGCUUUUCUAAUGUCAAGUAUCAUUUCCUUAGGCCAUGAGAUUGUGCAACUCCCGGAUACCGUAGGAAUGCUUUGGGUGUACCAAACGUCACAACGUAAUUGAGUGACUAUAAAGGUGCACUACAGGUAUCUCCGAAAGUGUCUGUUGGGUUGGCACGAAUCGAGACUGGGAUUUGUCACUCCGUGUAAGCAGAGAGGUAUCUCUGGGCCCACUCGGUAGGACAUCACCAUAAUGUGCACAGUGUGAUCAAGGAGUUGAUCACGGGAUGAUGUGUUACGGAACGAGUAAAGAGACUUGCCGGUAACGAUAUUGAACAAGGUAUAGGGAUACCGAUGAUCGAAUCUCGGGCAAGUACAAUACCGCUAGACAAAGGGAAUUGUAUACGGGAUUGAUUAAGUCCUUGACAUCGUGGUUCAUCCGAUGAGAUCAUCGUGGAACAUGUGGGAGCCAACAUGGGUAUCCAGAUCCCGCUGUUGGUUAUUGACCGAAGAACGUCUCGGUCAUGUCUGCAUGUCUCCCGAACCCGUAGGGUCUACACACUUAAGGUUCGAUGACGCUAGGGUUGUAAAGGAAGUUUGUAUGUGGUUACCGAAUGUUGUUCGGAGUCCCGGAUGAGAUCCCGGACGUCACGAGGAGUUCCGGAAUGGUCCGGAGGUAAAGAUUUAUAUAUGGGAAGUCCUGUUUUGGUCACCGGAAGAGUUUCAGGGUUUAUCGGUAAUGUACUGGGACCACCGGGAGGGUCCCGGGGGUCCACCAAGUGGGGCCACCAACCCCGGAGGCUUGCAUGGGCCAAGAGUGGUGAGGGACCAGCCCCUGAGUGGGCUGGUGCGCCUCCCACAAGGCCCAAGGGGCAGCUAGGAGGAAAAAAGGAGGAAACCCUAGGCUUAGGUGGGCCUAAGGCCCACCCUAGGGGGCGCCUCCCUCUCUCCCCUCUUGGCCGCCCCUUGUUUCCCAUCUAGGGCUUCCGCCCCCCUAGGGGUGGGAACCCUAGAGGGGGCGCACCCUCCUCCCUCUCCCCUAUAUAUAGUGAGGCCUAGGGCUGCCCAUAACACGCGAUUCGAUCUCUCGUUGGUGCAGCCCUGCAUCUCUUCUUCCUCCUCUUCUGUGGUGCUUGGCAAAGCCCUGCAGGAUAGCCACGCUCCUCCACCACCACCAUGCCGUUGUGCUGCUGCUGGAUGGAGUCUUCCUCAACCUCUCCCUCUCUCCUUGCUGGAUCAAGGCAUGGGAGACGUCACCGGGCUGUACGUGUGUUGAAUGCGGAGGUGCCGUCCGUUCGGCACUUGGUCAUUGGUGAUUUGGAUCACGACGAGUAUGACUCCAUCAACCCCGUUCUCUUGAACGCUUCCGCUUAGCGAUCUACAAGGGUAUGUAGAUGCACUCUCCUUCCCUCGUUGCUGGUCUCUCCAUAGAUAGAUCUUGGUGACACGUAGGAAAAUUUUGAAUUUCUGCUACGUUCCCCAAUAGUGGCAUCAUGAGCUAGGUCUAUGCGUAGUUUCUAUGCACGAGUAGAACACAAAGUAGUUGUGGGCGUUGAUUUUGUUCAAUAUGCUUGCCGUUACUAGUCUUAUCUUGAUUCGGCGGCAUCGUGGGAUGAAGCGGCCCGGACCAACCUUACACGUAUGCUUACGUGAGACCGGUUCCACUGACUGACAUGUACUAGUUGCAUGAGGUGGCUGGCGGGUGUCUGUCUCUCCCACUUUAGUCGGAUCGGAUUCGAUGAAAAGGGUCCUUAUGAAGGGUAAAUAGCAAUUGGCAUAUCACGUUGUGGUUUUUGCGUAGGUAAGAAACGUUCUUGCUAGAAACCCAUAGCAGCCACGUAAAACAUGCAAACAACAAUUAGAGGACGUCUAACUUGUUUUUGCAGGGUAUGCUAUGUGAUGUGAUAUGGCCAAAAGGAUGUGAUGAAUGAUAUAUGUGAUGUAUGAGAUUGAUCAUGUUCUUGUAAUAGGAAUCACGACUUGCAUGUCGAUGAGUAUGACAACCGGCAGGAGCCAUAGGAGUUGUCUUAAUUUAUUUAUGACCUGCGUGUCAACAUAAAUGUCAUGUAAUUACUUUACUUUGUUGCUAACCGUUAGCUGUAGAAGUAGAAGUAAUAGUUGGAGGGACAACUUCAUGAAGACACGAUGAUGGAGAUCAUGAUGAUGGAGAUCAUGGUGUCAUGCCGGUGACGAUGAUGAUCAUGGAGCCCCAAGAUGGAGAUCAAAGGAGCUAUAUGAUAUUGGCCAUAUCAUGUCACUAUUUGAUUGCAUGUGAUGUUUAUCAUGUUUAUACAUCUUAUUUGCUUAGAACGACGGUAGUAAAUAAGAUGAUCCCUCAUUACAAUUUCAAGAAUGUGUUCUCCCCUAACUGUGCACCGUUGCUAAAGUUCGUCGUUUCGAAGCACCACGUGAUGAUCGGGUGUGAUAGAUCCUUACGUUCACAUACAACGGGUGUAAGACAGUUUUACACAUGCAAAACACUUAGGGUUAACUUGAUGAGCCUAGCAUGUGCACAGACAUGGCCUCGGAACACAGAAGACCGAAAGGUCGAGCAUGAGUCGUAUGGUAGAUACGAUCAACAUGAAGAUGUUCACCGAUGAUGACUAGUCCGUCUCACGUGAUGAUCGGACACGGCCUAGUUGACUCGGAUCAUGUAAUCACUUAGAUGACUAGAGGGAUGUCUAUCUAAGUGGGAGUUCAUAAGAUGAACUUAAUUAUCCUGAACAUAGUCAAAAGGUCUUCGCAAAUUAUGUCGUAGCUCGCGCUUUAGUUCUACUGUUUAGAUAUGUUCCUAGAGAAAAAUUAGUUGAAAGUUGAUAGUAGCAAUUAUGCGGACUAGGUCCGUAAACUGAGGAUUGUCCUCAUUGCUUCUUAGAAGGCUUAUGUCCUUAAUGCACCAGUCAGUGUGCUGAACCUCGAACGUUGUCUGUGGAUGUUGCGAACAUCUGACAUACACGUUUUGAUAACUACGUGAUAGUUCAGUUAAACGGUUUAGACUUGAGGCACCGAAGACGUUUUUGAAACGUCAUGGAACAUAUGAGAUGUUUCGAGGGCUGAAAUUGGGAUUUCAGGCUCGUGCCCACGUCAAAAGGUAUAAGACCUCCGACGAUUUUCUUAGCCUACAAACUAAGGAGAAAAGCUCAAUUGUUGAGCUUGUGCUCAGAUUGUCUGAGUACAACAAUCAUUUGAAUCAAGUGGGAGUUGAUCUUCCAAAUGAGAUAGUGAUGUUUCUCCGAAGUCAUUACCACCGAGCUGCUUGAGCUUCAUGAUGAACUAUAAUAUAUCAGGGACAUAUAUGAUGAUCCUUGAGAUAUUCACGAUGUUUGACACCACAAAGUAGAAAUCAAGAAGGAGCAUCAAUUGUUGAUGGUUGGUGAAACCAUUAGUUUCAAGAAGGGCAAGGGCACGAAGGGAUACUUCAUGAAACGGCAGUUCAGCUGCUGCUCUAGUGAAGAAACCCAAGGUUGAACCCAAACCCGAGACUUAGUGCUUCUGUAAUAAGGGGAACAGCCACUGGAGCAGAAUUACCCUAGAUACUUGGUAGAUGAGAAGGCUGGCAAGGUCGAUAGAAGUAUAUUGGAUAUACAUUGUGUUGAUGUGUACUUUACUAGUACUCCUAGUAGGACCAGGGUAUUAGAUACAGGUUCAGUUGCUAAGUGUUAGUAACUCAAAAUAAAAGCUACGGAAUAAACGGAGACUAGCUAAAGGUGAGCUGACGAUAUGUGUUGGAAGUGUUUCCAAUGUUGAUAUGAUCAAGCAACGCACGCUCCCUCUACCAUCGAGAUUGGUGUUAAACCUAAAUAAUUGUUGUUUGGUGUUUGCGUUGAGCAUAGACAUGAUUGGAUUAUGCCUAUCGCAAUACGGUUAUUCAUUUAAGAAGAAUAAUGGUUACUCUGUUUAUUUGAAUAAUACCUUCAAAUGGUCUUACACCUGAAAUGAAUGGUUUAUUGAAUCUCGAUCGUAGUGUUACACAUGUUCAUGCCAAAAGAUAGUAAUGAUAGUACCACCUACUUGUGGCACUGCCACGUAAGUCAUAUCGGUAUAAAACGCAUGAAGAAGCUCCAUGUUGAUGGAUCUUUGGGCUCACUCGUUUUUGAAAAGUUUGAGACAUGCGAACCAUGUCUGUUGGUGUAUAUGCAUGAAGAAACUCCAUGCAAAUGGACCAUUUGGACUCACUUGAUUUUGAAUCACUUGAGACAUGCAAAUCAUACCACAUGGGCAAGAUGACUGAAAGCCUCGGUUUCAGUAAAAUGGAACUAGAAAGCAACUUGUUGGAAGAAAUACAUUUUGAUGUGUGCAGUCCAAUGAGUGCUGAGGUGUGUAGUGGAUAUCGUUAUGUUCUUACUUCACAGAUGAUUUGAGUAGAUGUUGAGUACAUUUACUUGAUAAAUCACGAGUCUGAAUUAUUGAAAGGUUCAAGUAAUUUCAGGGUGAAGUUGAAAGAUCGUCGUGACAAGAGGAUAAAAUAUCUAUGAUAUGAUCAUAGAGAUGAAUAUCUGAAUUACGAGUUUGGCACAGAAUUAAGACAUUGUGGAAAUUGUUUCACAACUAAUACAGCCUGGAACACCAUAGUGUGAUGGUGUGUCCGAACAUCAUAACUGCACCCUAUUGGAUAUGAUGCAUACCAUGAUGUCUCUUAUCGAAUUACCAGGAUAGUUUAUGGGUUAGGCAUUAAAGACAACCGCAUUCACUUUAAAUAGGACACCACGUAAUUCCGAUGAGAUGACACCGUAUGAACUAUGGUUUAGAGAAACCUAAGCUGUCAUUUCUUAAAAGUUUGGGGCUGCGACGCUUAUGUGAAAAAGUUUCAGGCUGAUAAGCUCAAACCCAAAGCGGAUAAAUGCAUCUUCAUAGGACACCCAAAACAGCUGGGUAUGCCUCCUGUCUCAGAUCCGAAAACAAUAAGGGAUUGUUUUUAGAAUCAGGUCCUUUCUGGAGGAAAAGUUUCUCUCGAAAGAAUUGAGUGGGAGGAUGGUGGAGACUUGAUGAGGUUAUUGAACCAUCUCUUCAACUAGUGUAUGGCAGGGCACAGGAAGUUGUUCCUAUGGCACCUACACCAAUUGAAGUGGAAGCUUAUGAUAGUGAUCAUGAAACUUCAGAUCAAGUCACUACCAAACCUCGUGGGAUGACAAGGAUGCGUACUACUUCAGAGUGGUACAUAAUCCUGUCUUGGAAGUCAUGUUGCUAGACAACAAUGAACCUACGAGCUAUGGAGAAGCGAUGGUGGGCCUGGAUUCCAAAAUGGCUCGAGGCCAUAUAAUCCGAGAGAGGAUCCAUAUAUGAAAACAAAGUGUAGACUUUGGGAGAACUACUUGAUGGUCGUAAGGCUGUUAGGUACAUAUGGAUUUUAAAAGGAAGACGAACAAUGAUGGUAAAUGUCACCAUUAAGAAAGCUCGACUUGUCGUUAAGAUGUUUUCCGACAAGUUCAAAGGAGUUGACUACGAUGAGACUUUCUCACUCGUAGCGAUGCUAAGAGUCUGUUGGAAUUAUAUUAGCGAUUACUGCAUUAUUUUGAAAUCUUGCAGAUAGGAUGUCAAAACAUUGUUUCCUCGACGAUUUUCUUGAGGAAAGGUUGUAUGUGAUACAACCGGAAGGUUUUGUCAAUCCUAAAAGAUGCUAAUAAGUAUGCAAAGCUCCAGCAAUCCUUCUAGGGACUGGAGUAAGCAUCUCAGAGUUGGAAUGUAUGCUUUGAUGAUGAUCAAAGAUUUUGGUGUAUACAAAGUUUAUGAGAAACUUGUAUUUCCAAAGAAUUGAGUGGGAGCACUAUAGAAUUUCUGAUGAGUAUAUGUUGUUGACAUAUUAUAGAUCAGAAAUGACGUAGAAUUUCUGAAAAGCAUAUAGGGUUAUUUGGAAAGUGUUUUUCAAUGGAAAGCCUGGAUCAAGCUACUUGAACAUUGAGCAUCAAGAUCUAUAAGGAUAGAUCAAAACGCUUAAUAGUACUUUCAAAUGAGCACAUACCUUGACAUGAUCUUGAAGGUGUUCAAGAUGGAUCAGUCAAAGAAGGAGUUCUUGCCUGAGUUGUAAGGUAUGAAGUUAAGACUUAAAGCUCGACCACGGCAGAAUAGAGAGAAAGGACGAAGGUCGUCCCCUAUGCUUAAGACAUAGGCUCUACAGUAUGCUAUGCUAUGUACCGCACCUGAAAUGUGCCUUGCCAUGAGUCAGUCAAGGGGUACAAGAGUGAUCCAAGAAUGGAUCACAGUACAGCGGUCAAAGUUAUCCUUAGUAACUAGUGGACUAAGGAAUUUUCUCGGUUAUGGAGGUGAUAAAGAGUUCGACGUAAAGAGUUACGACGAUGCAAGCUUAACACCUAUCCGGAUAGCUCUAAGUAGAGAUACCAGAUACGUAUAAUGGAGCAACAAUUUAGAAUAGCUCCAAGUAGAACAGUUAUUUGGAAUAGCUACAAAUAGAACGUGGUAGCUGCAUCUAGGAGAUGACAUAGAGAUUUGUAAAGCACACACGGAUCUGAAAGGUUCAGACCCGUUGACUAUAACCUCUCUCACAAGCAUAACAUGAUCAAACCCAGAACUCUUUGGGUGUUAGUCACAUGGGGAUGUGACCUUGAGUGUUAAUCACAUAUCGAUGUGAACUGGAUUAUUGACUCUAGUGCAAGUGGGAGACUGUUGGAAAUCUGCCCUAGAGGCAAUAAUAAAUUAGUUAUUAUUAUAUUUCCUUGUUCAUGAUAAUCGUUUAUUAUCCAUGCUAGAAUUGUAUUGAUAGGAAACUCAGAUACAUGUGUGGAUACAUAGACAACACCAUGUCCCUAGUAAGCCUCUAGUUGACUAUCUCGUUGAUCAAUAGAUGGUUACGGUUUCCUGACCAUGGACAUUGGAUGUCAUUGAUAACGGGAUCACAUCAUUAGGAGAAUGAUGUGAUGGACAAGACCCAAUCCUAAGCAUAGCACAAAGAUCGUGUAGUUCGUAUGCUAAAGCUUUUCUAAUGUCAAGUAUCAUUUCCUUAGACCAUGAGAUUGUGCAACUCCCGGAUACCGUAGGAAUGCUUUGGGUGUACCAAACGUCACAACGUAACUGAGUGACUAUAAAGGUGCACUACAGGUAUCUCCGAAAGUGUCUGUUGGGUUGGCACGAAUCGAGACUGGGAUUUGUCACUCCCUGUAAGCAGAGAGGUAUCUCUGGGCCCACUCGGUAGGACAUCACCAUAAUGUGCACAGUGUGAUCAAGGAGUUGAUCACGGGAUGAUGUGUUACGGAACGAGUAAAGAGACUUGCCGGUAACGAGAUUGAACAAGGUAUAGGGAUACCGACGAUCGAAUCUCGGGCAAGUACAAUACCGCUAGACAAAGGGAAUUGUAUACGGGAUUGAUUAAGUCCUUGACAUCGUGGUUCAUCCGAUGAGAUCAUCGUGGAACAUGUGGGAGCCAACAUGGGUAUCCAGAUCCCGCUGUUGGUUAUUGACCGGAGAACGUCUCGGUCAUGUCUGCAUGUCUCCCGAACCCGUAGGGUCUACACACUUAAGGUUCGAUGACGCUAGGGUUGUAAAGGAAGUUUGUAUGUGGUUACCGAAUGUUGUUCGGAGUCCCGGAUGAGAUCCCGGACGUCACGAGGAGUUCCAGAAUGGUCCAGAGGUAAAGAUUUAUAUAUGGGAAGUCCUGUUUUGGUCACCGGAAGAGUUUGGGGGUUUAUCGGUAAUGUACCGGGACCACCGGGAGGGUCCCGGGGGUCCACCAAGUGGGGCCACCAACCCCGGAGGCUUGCAUGGGCCAAGAGUGGUGAGGGACCAGCCCCUGAAUGGGCUGGUGCGCCUCCCACAAGGCCCAAGGGGCAGCUAGGAGGAAAAAAGGAGGAAACCCUAGGCUUAGAUGGGCCUAAGGCCCACCCUAGGGGGCGCCUCCCUCUCUCCCCUCUUGGCCGCCCCUUGUUUCCCAUCUAGGGCUGCCGCCCCCCUAGGGGUGGGAACCCUAGAGGGGGCGCACCCUCCUCCCUCUCCCCUAUAUAUAGUGAGGCCUAGGGCUGCCCAUAACACGCGAUUCGAUCUCUCGUUGGUGCAGCCCUGCAUCUCUUCUUCCUCCUCUUCUGUGGUGCUUGGCGAAGCCCUGCAGGAUAGCCACGCUCCUCCACCACCACCACGCCGUUGUGCUGCUGCUGGAUGGAGUCUUCCUCAACCUCUCCCUCUCUCCUUGCUGGAUCAAGGCAUGGGAGACGUCACCGGGCUGUACGUGUGUUGAACGCGGAGGUGCCGUCCGUUCGGCACUUGGUCAUCGGUGAUUUGGAUCACGACGAGUACGACUCCAUCAACCCCGUUCUCUUGAACGCUUCCGCUUAGCGAUCUACAAGGGUAUGUAGAUGCACUCUCCUUCCUUCGUUGCUGGUCUCUCCAUAGAUAGAUCUUGGUGACACGUAGGAAAAUUUUGAAUUUCUGCUACGUUCCCCAAUAUAGAUCACGUGGAUCAACUUGUGUGUGCUAGGGUGCCUCUGCCUCAGUAUAUAAAGGACUAGAGGGGGGAGGCUGGCCGGCCAAGGUGUGGCGCGCCAGGAGAGUCCUACUCCCUCUGGGAGUAGGAUUCCCCCCCAAUCCUAGUUGGAAUAGAAUUCGCGGAGGGGGAAAAGAGAGAGAGGGGGCCGGCCACCUCUCCUAGUCCUAAUAGGACUAGGGGAAGGGGGAGGCGCGCAGCCCAUGUAGGGCUGCCUCUUCUCUUUUCCACUAAGGCCCAUCAUGGCCCAUUUAGCUCCCGGGGGGUUCCGGUAACCUUCCCGGUACUCCGGUAAAAUCCCGAUUUCACCCGGAACACUUCCGAUAUCCAAACAUAGGCUUCCAAUAUAUAAAUCUUUACGUCUCGACCAUUUUGAGACUCCUUGUCAUGUCCGUGAUCACAUCCGGGAUUCCGAACAACCUUCGGUACAUCAAAAUGCAUAAACUCAUAAUAUAACUGUCAUCGUAACCUUAAGCGUGCGGACCCUGCGGGUUCGAGAACAAUGUAGACAUGACCGAGACACGUCUCCGGUCAAUAACCAAUAGCGGGACCUGGAUGCCCAUAUUGGCUCCUACAUAUUCUACGAAGAUCUUUAUCGGUCAGACCGCAUAACAACAUACGUUGUUCCCUUUGUCAUCGGUAUGUUACUUGCCCGAAAUUCGAUUGUCGGUAUCCAAUACCUAGUUCAAUCUCGUUACCGGCAAGUCUCUUUACUCGUUCCGUAAUACAUCAUCUCACAACUAACAUAUUAGUUGUAAUGCUUGCAAGGCUUGUGUGAUGUGCAUUACCGAGAGGGCCCAGAGAUACCUCUCCGGCAAUCGAAGUGACAAAACCUAAUCUCGAAAUACGCCAACCCAACAUGUACCUUUGGAGACACCUGUAAUGAUCCUUUAUAAUCACCCAGUUACAUUGUGACGUUUGGUAGCACCCAAAGUGUUCCUCCGGCAAACGGGAGUUGCAUAAUCUCAUAGUUAUAGGAACAUGUAUAAGUCAUGAAGAAAGCAAUAGCAACAUACUAAACGAUCGGGUGCUAAGCUAAUGGAAUGGGUCAUGUCAAUCAGAUCAUUCAACUAAUGAUGUGACCUCGUUAAUCAAAUAACAACUCAUUGUUCAUGGUCAGGAAACAUAACCAUCUUUGAUUAAUGAGCUAGUCAAGUAGAGGCAUACUAGUGACACUUUGUUUGUCUAUGUAUUCACACAUGUAUUAUGUUUUCGGUUAAUACAAUUCUAGCAUGAAUAAUAAACAUUUAUCAUGAUUAUAAGGAAAUAAAUAAUAACUUUAUUAUUGCCUCUAGGGCAUAUUUCCUUCAAAAACAAGGGCAAAAGUCUUUGGAAAAGUAGAUACGACGGAGACGUAUCAACUCCCCCAAGCUUAAACCAUUACUUGUCCUCAAGCAAUUAAGUUGAUAAACUGAAAGUGAUAAAGAAAAACUUUUACAAACUCUGUUUGCUCUUGUUGUUGUAAAUAUGUAAAGCCAGCAUUCAAGUUUUCAACAAAGAUUAUAACUAACCACAUUCGCAAUAACGCUUAGGUCUCAAGUUACUCAUAUCAAUAGCAUAAUCAACUAGCGAGCAAUAAUAAUAAAUCUCAGAUGACAACACUUUCUCAAAACAAUCAUAAUAUGAUAUAGCAAGAUGGUAUCUCGCUAGCCCUUUCUGAGACCACAAAAUAUAAAUGCAGAGCACCUUUAAAGACCAAGGACAGACUAGACAUUGUAAUUCAUGGUAAAAGAGAUCCAGUCAAGUCAUAUUUAAUGUAAACUAACAAUAAUGAAUGCAAAUGACAACGGUGCGCUCCAAGAGGAUGAUGACUCAGCAUAAAAGUAAAUAGACAGGCCCUUCACAGAGGGAAGCAGGGAUUUGUAGAGGUGCCAGAGCUCGGUUUUGAAAUAGACAUGAAUAAUAUUUUCAGCGAUAUACUUUCAUUGUCAACAUAACAAGCAAGAGAUGGCAAUAUCUUCCAUGCUACACACAUUAUAGGCGGUUCCCAAACAGAAUGGUAAAGUUUAUACUCCUCCUUCCACCAACAAGCAUCAAUCCAUGGCUUGCUCGAAACAACGAGUGCCUCCAACUAACAAGAGUCCCAAGAGGAGUUUUGUUUGCAAUUAUUUUGAUUUAGUUUGCAUAAAGCAUGGGACUGGGCAUCCCGGUGACCAGCCAUUUAUCUCGUGAGUGAGGAGCGGAGUCCACUCCUCUUGAGAAUAACCCGCCUAACAUGGAAGAUACAGACAUCCCUAGUUGAUACAUGAGCUAUUCGAGCAUACAAAACAUGAUAUUUAUUUGAAGGUUUAGAGUUUUUCACAUACAAAUUUACUUGGAACGACAGGUAGAUACCGUAUAUAGGUAGGUAUAGUGGACUCAUGUGGAAUAACUUUGGGGUUUAAGGGAUUGGAUGCACAAGCAGUAUUCCUGCUUAGUACAGGUGAAGGCUAGCAAAAGACUGGGAAGCGACCAGCUAGAGAGCAACAACAGUCAUGAACAUGCAUUAAAAUUAAUCAACACCGAAUGCAAGCAAGAGUAGGAUAUAAUCCACCAUGAACAUAAAUAUCAUGAAGGCUAUGUUGAUUUUGUUUCAACUACAUGCGUGAACAUGUGCCAAGUCAAGUCACUUAAAUCAUUCAGAGGAGGAGACCACCCUAUCAUACCACAUCAUAACCAUUUUAAUAGCAUGUUGGCACGCAAGGUAAACCAUUAUAAGCUCCUAGCUAAUCAAGCAUGGCACAAGAAACUAUGAUCUCUAGUUGUCAUUGCAAACAUGUUUAUUCAUAAUAGGCUGAAUCAGGAACGAUGAAAUAAUCAUAUUUACAAAAACAAAAGAGGUCGAGUUCAUACCAGCUUUUCUCAUCUCAAUCAGUCCAUCAUAUAUCGUCAUAAUUGCCUUUCACUUGCACAACCGAACGAUGUGAAUAAUAAUAAUAGUGCACGUGCAUUGGACUAAGCUGGAAUCUGCAAGCAUUCAAUAAACAGGAGAAGACAAGGCAAUAUGGGCUCUUUUGUCAGAUCAACAAUAAUGCAUAUAAGAGCCACUUCAACAAUUUAAUUAUGGUCUUCUCCUAUCGACCCCCAAAGGAAAGAAAACAAAUAAAACUAUUUACACUGGAGAGCUCCCAACAAGUAAAAGAAGAACAGGAAAUCUUUUUGAGUUUUCUUUUUAAUUACUACUACAAGCAUUGGAAAGUAAACUAAUUAAAAGCUACCACUAACUUUUUUGGUUUUUAUUAAGGUUAUCGAACACACAAGAAGAAAGCAUAAAAAGGAAAUUAACUAGCAUGGAUGAUGCAAAUGAAAAAGUAUGAGCACCGACAUCUAGCAAUGAGUAUGUGAACAUAAAUCUAAUGUCGGUGAGAAAUACGUACUCCCCCAAGCUUAGGCUUUUGGCCUAAGUUGGUCUAUGGCCACGGCUGGCCUGGCGGAUAUCCAUAAUAAUAGUUAGGGUCGUACUGUGAUGAAGAACAAGACUCCUAUUGCCACUGGCUGGCAAUCAUCUCCGGAUCCCACUGGUAAUUAGACUGUCGUGAAGGAUCAACUGGUGGUUCCGUCUCUGGCUCCAUAGCUGGUGCAGGGUUCCGGUAGGCGUGAAUAGCCUUUAGCGAAACAAGGUACUGGCCUGCAGAUAAAUCAAACAAAGAAGGAGCAGGCAGGGUAAUAGUCUCAGAAUGAUGUUUAUCAAAGAACAAUUUGUAUUUAAGCUCUCCUUCCCUAUUCUUAACAAUAAAAUCAUGUGCCACCAUACUUUUAUAAUCUAAAUAAAAAUGAGGCAACACUUUUUCUUCCUUCUCAUAAUGCCUAAUAGGUAUGUUAAAAUGUGCAGCUAGGCGUGAAGCAUAGAUGCCUCCAAAGAUGGGGCCCUUGGUACGGUUCAGACUUAACCGUUUAGCAAUAAUGUCGCCCAUACUAACAGAGUUAUCACCGUAUAAACCGUGGAGCAAAAUAAUAAUAUCAGGGACACUAAGGUUUCCACAGUUUUCGCGACCAAUUAAACAACGACUAGCAAAUAAUGCAAAAUAGCGUAAAACAGGAAAAUGUAUGCUAGUGAUCCGUGCAUCGGAAACAUUCCUUGUUUCCCCUACAAUGAUAGUAUCAAUAAACUCAUCCACAUCCUCGCGAUGUGGUUCCUCUGUCUUGCCCUCGAAAGGGACUAAACUGACCCGACAAAAAUCAUAAAGUGACAUCUCCUUAUGCUCAUCAUAUAAAUGAAACUCCACCGUAGGUGGUGAGCUCCUAGAAUGGAAAUGAAAGUUUUGCACAAAGAUAUUUAUGAGUAAGAGAUACUGAUCGCGUUGGUCGCGGAGGAAAGCGGUGAGGCCUGCAUUCUUAGCCAAUUCAUAAAAAUCUUCAUAAAUCUCGGCUGCUCUCAAGAAAUCAUCGGAAGGCCAUUCACACACCCGAACCUCUGCGGUGCGAGGCAGAUUAUACUUAGGCUUCGGUGCCUUUUCCUUCGAGCUUCGACUCGAUGAGCCCCUCAAAAGUCUCUUCAUCAUUUUCUGAAAAAUUCUGAAUUUUUUAGUAACUUCAAAAUAAAAGUAAACCAAACUCAAUAAUAUCGAUAGCAAUUACUCCUACAAGUGCCUAGGGCCUAUAAUAUGCAUCAAAACUACUUUUGACCAUAUAAAUUUGACAUGCAAGCUUAAGAACAGGGUCACCUAAGUAGCAAAAAAUUGCAAUGAAUAAAGCACUAGAACAAAAAAUAAUUGGACCAAUGGAGGAGUCACAUACCAAGGAGCAAUCUCCCCAAGCAGUUUUGUGAGAGGUGUUUUGAGCAAGGAGAUCGAAAAUGGCAGCAAAACGAGCUUGGACUCGGGUUUGAGCUGGUUAUUCAUGUUUGGGGGAGGAAGAAGGAGUGUGUGGGUGAAAGGAUAAGUGGAGGAGGGCCACCGUGGGCCCAUGAGGUAGGGGGCGCGCCCAGGAGGGUAGGGCGCGCCCUCCACCCUCGUGGGCAGGCGGUUGACCCCCCCUACGGUGUUCUCAGUGCCAAAUAUUCUCAAAUAUUUCAGAAAAAAUCAUAUUUAAAUUUCAGGGCAUUUGGAGAAAUUUUAUUUUCGAGGUAUUUUUAUAUUGCACGGAUAAUCAGAUAACAGACAGAAAAAGACUAUUUUUAUUUUAUUUAAUAUAAAUAACAGAAAGUAAAAGGAGGGUACAACAGGUUGUGCCUUCUAGUUUCAUCCAUCUCAUGAUCAUCAAAAUGAAUCCACUAACAAGGUUGAUCAAGUCUUAUUAAUGAACUCAUUCCGAAUAACAUGGAACCGGAGAAAUUUCGAAUAACACUAUGUUACCUCAACGGGGACAUGCACAUCCCCAAUAAUAAGAAUAUCAUAUUUCUUCUUGACAGUAGGAAGAGGAAAUUCAAAACCUCCAAAUAUAAUCGAUGGAAUUUUCCCAAUAGAGUUGAUACUAUGAACUUGAGGUUGUUUCCUCGGAAAGUGUACCGUAUGCUCAUUACCAUUAACAUGAAAAGUGACAUUGCCUUUAGUGCAAUCAAUAACAGCCCCUGCAUUAUUCAAAAAGGGUCUUCCAAGAAUAAUAGACAUACUAUCGUCCUCGGGAAUAUCAAGAAUAACAAAGUCCGUUAAAAUAGUAACGUUUGCAACUACAAUAGGCACAUCCUCACAAAUACCGACAAGUAUAGCAGUUGAUUUAUCAGCCAUUUGCAAAGAUAUUUCAGUAGGUGUCAACUUAUUCAAAUCAAGUCUACGAUAUAAAGAGAGAGGCAUAACACUAACACCGGCUCCAAGAUCACAUAAAGCAGUUUUAACAUAGUUUCUUUUAAUGGAGCAUGGUAUAGUGGGUACUCCUGGAUCUCCGAGUUUCUUUGGUAUUCCACCCUUAAAAGUAUAAUUAGCAAGCAUGGUGGAAAUUUCAGCUUCUGGUAUGUUUCUAUUAUUUGUAACAAUAUCUUUCAUAUACUUAGCAUAAGGAUUCAUUUUGAGCAUAUCAGUUAAUCGCAUACACAAAAAGAUAGGUCCAAUCAUUUCAGCAAAGCGCUCAAAAUCCUCAUCAUCCUUUUUCUUGGAUGGUUUGGGAGGAAAAUGCAUGGGUUUCUAAACCCAUGCUUCUCUUUCUUUACCAUCUUUCCUAGGAACAAAAUCUUUCUUAUCAUAAUGUUGAUUCUUUGAUUGUGGGUUAUCAAGAUCAACAACAGGUUCAAUUUCUAUAUCAUUAUCAUUACUAGGCUGAGCAUCAUCAUGAACAUUAUUACUACUUUCGGGUUCAUUACCAGAUUGAGUUUCAGCAUCAGAAAUAGAAAUAUCAUUUGGAUUCUCAGGUGAUUCAAUAACAGGUUCACUAGAAGCAUGCAAAGUCCUAUCAUUUUUCUUUUUCUUCUUUUUAGAAGGACUAGGUGCAUCUAUAUUAUUUCUCUGAGAAUCUUGCUCAAUUCUCUUAGGAUGGCCUUCAGGAUACAAAGGUUCCUGAGUCAUUCUACCACCUCUAGUCAUAACUCUAACAACAUUAUCAUUAUCUUUACUAUUCAAUUCAUUGAGCAAAUCAUUUUGAGCUUUAAGUACUUUUUCUACUUGAGUGGUAACCAUAGAAGCAUGUUUACUAAUAAGUUUAAGUUCACCUUUGACAUUAGCCAUAUAAUCACCCAAGUGUUCAAGCAUAUUUGAAUUGUAUUUCAAUUGUCUACCAAAAUAAGCAUUAAAAUCUUCUUGCUUAACCAUAAAUUUAUCAAACUCAUCUAAACAUGGGCUAGCAAACUUAGUAAAUGGGAUUUCAGCUUUAUCAUAUCUAUAGAGAGAAUUUACCUUUACUACCUGUGUCGGGUUAUCAAGACCAUGAGUUUCUUCAAUAGGUAAGGGAUUAAGAUCAUAUGUUUCUUCAACAGGCGGUAAAUUAAGACCAUGUAUUUCUUCAAUAAGAGGUAAAUUCUGAACAUCUUCAGCUUUAAUACCUUUUUCUUUCAUAGAUUUCUUUGCCUCUUGCAUAUCUUCAGGACUGAUAAAUAGAAUACCCCUCUUCUUCGGAGUUGGUUUAGGAAUAGGCUCAGGAAUUGGCUCCAGAGGUGUCCAAUUAUUUUCAUUUGUCAACAUAUUAUUCAAUAGAAUUUCAGGUUCAUCUGGUGUUCUUUCCCUGAAAACAGAACCAGCACAACUAUCCAGGUAAUCUCUGGAGGCAUCGGUUAGUCCAUUAUAAAAGAUAUCAAGUAUUUCAUUUUUCUUAAGAGGAUGAUCAGGCAAAGCAUUAAGUAAUUGGAGAAGCCUCCCCCAAGCUUGUGGGAGACUCUCUUCUUCAAUUUGCACAAAAUUAUAUAUAUCCCUUAAAGCAGCUUGUUUCUUAUGAGCAGGGAAAUAUUUAGCAGAGAAGUAAUAAAUCAUAUCCUCGGGACUACGCACACAACCAAGAUCAAGAGAAUUAAACCAUAUCUUAGCAUCACCCUUUAAUGAAAACAGAAAUAUUUUAAGGAUAUAAAAGUAGCGAGUUCUCUCAUCAGUAGUGAACAGGGUGGCUAUAUCAUUCAAUUUAGUAAGAUGUGUCACAACAGUUUCAGAUUCAUAGCCAUGAAAAGGAUCAGAUUCAACCAACGUAUUUAUAUCAGGAUCAACAGAGAAUUCAUAUUCCUUAUCGAUAAUACAGAUAGGUGAAGUAGCAAAAGAAGGGUCAGGUUUCAUUCUAGCAUUUAGAGAUUGCUUAUUCCAUUUAGCUAAUAACCUCUUGAGUUCGUAUCUAUCUUUGCAAGCUAAAAUAGCCAAAGAAGCUUCUUUAUCAAAAACAUAACCCUCAGGAAUAACAGGCAAGUCUUCAUCAUCAAUUUCAUCAGUAUUAUCAGAUUCAAUAUUUUCAAUCUCUCUAGCCCUAGCAAGUUGUUCAUCAAUAAAUUCACCAAGUCGCACAGUAGUAUCAAGCAUAGAAGUAGUUUCAUCAUAACUAUCAUGUAUAGCAGAAGUGGCAUCAUCAAUAACAUGCGACAUAUCAGAACGAAUAGCAGAAGCAGGUUUAGGUGUCGCAAGCUUACUCAAAACAGAAGGUGAAUCAAGUGCAGAGCUAGAUGGCAGUUCCUUACCUCCCAUCGUAGUUGAGGGAUAAAUCUUGGUUCUUGGAUGUUUCAAGUUCUUCAUAAUGAUAAGCAGAUAUAAAUCCCAAGUGACUCAAAGAAUAGAGCUAUGCUCCCCGGCAACGGCGCCAGAAAAUAGUCUUGAUAACCCACAAGUAUAGGGGAUCGCAACAGUUUUCGAGGGUAAAGUAUUCAACCCAAAUUUAUUGAUUCGACACAAGGGGAGCCAAAGAAUAGUCUCAAGUAUUAGCAGCCGAGUUGUCAAUUCAACCACACCUGGAAACUUAAUAUCUGCAGCAAAGUAUUUAGUAGCAAAGUAAUAUGAUAGUAGUGGUUACGGUAGCAAAAGGUAACAGUAGUAAAAGUAAUGUUUUUGGUAUUUUGUAGUGAUGAUAGCAAUAGCAAUGGAAAAGUAAAUAAGCGAAGAACAAUAUAUGGAAAGCUCGUAGGCAAUGGAUCAGUGAUGGAGAAUUAUGCCGGAUGCGGUUCAUCAUGUAACAGUCAUAACCUAGCGUGACACAGAACUAGCUCCAGUUAAUCAAUGUAAUGUAGGCAUGUAUUCCGAAUAUAGUCAUACGUGCUUAUGGAAAAGAACUUGCAUGACAUCUUUUGGCCUACCCUCCCGUAGCAGCGGGGUCCUUACGGAAACUAAGGGAUAUUAAGGCCUCCUUUUAAUAGAGUACCGGAACAAAGCAUUAACACAUAGUGAAUACAUGAACUCUUCAAACUACGGUCAUCACCGGUAAGUAUCCCGAUUAUUGUCACUUCGGGGUUAACGGAUCAUAACACAUAAUAGGUGACUAUAGACUUGCAAGAUAGGAUCAAGAACUCUCAUAUAUUGAUGAAAACAUAAUAAGUUCAGAUCUGAAAUCAUGGCACUCGGGCCCUAGUGACAAGCAUUAAGCAUAGCAAAGUCAUAGCAACAUCAAUAUCAGAACAUAGUGGAUACUAGGGAUCAAACCCUAAUAAAACUAACUCGAUUACAUGAUAGAUCCCAUCCAACCCAUCACCGUCCAGCAAGCCUACGAUGGAAUUACUCACGCACGGCGGUGAGCAUCAUGAAAUUGGUGAUAGAGGAUGGUUGAUGAUGACGAUGGCGACGGAUUCCCUCUCCGGAGCCCCGAACGGACUCCAGAUCAGCCCUCCUGAGAGGUUUUAGGGCUUGGCAGCGGCUCCGUAUCAUAAAACGCGAUGAAUCCUUCUCCCUGAUUUUUUUCUCCCCGAAACACAAUAUAUAGAGUUGGAGUUGGACUCGGAGGAGUUCCAAGGGGCCCACGAGGUAGGGGGAGUGCCCUAGGGGGGCAGGCGCACCCCCCACCCUCGUGGACAGGUGGUGGGCCCCCUGGCCUUCAUCUUUUGCAGGUAUUUUUUAUAUUUUCCAAAAAGUUGCUCCGUGAAGUUUCAGGUCAUUCCGAGAAUGUUUGUUUCUGAUAACACCAUGGUAAUUCUGCUGAAAACAGCGUCAGUCCGGGUUAGUUCCAUUCAAAUCAUGCAAGUUAGACUCCAAAACAAGGGCAAAAGUGUUUGAAAAAGUAGAUACGACGGAGACGUAUCAAGCGGUACAUCCACCAUCGGGCGCGCUGCCUGGGGUCGGGGGAGCGCUGCACCUCGCGCUUCGCCCACAGCAGAAGAGACGGCGACGGGAUGGUGCGGCCGGCAGGGAAGGCGCGCUGAUUUUCAGCAGCUGUCAUCACCUUCACAAGGCCGCGGGCGUAGUUCCUCAUCAUCGCCAUACUGGGGAACCAGCGCGCGAUCUCCAUGUACUGCGCGCGCAUCUCCUGGUUGUUGCCGGCAAGAGAUUCGAUGGCCAGCUGCCAGUCCAUCGCGGUGGCGGUGGCGGUGGUUGUCGGCGGCGAUUUCGACAAGAGAGAGGGGAAGUGGAGUGGGCGGUGCGAGCGGCGAGUGGGCGAGUGAGCAGAGAGUGUGGUGGGUGGACACGUAUUAAAGGCGUAGAAUCCGAAACGGCUGGUUUUACUCAACGCACGCUCACCUCGCAGCCGGCCGCAACGCACGCUGAACAGACGACGUGGCUAACAACAUAUAAUAAGUUCGGUCGAUGCUAGUCAAACAAAUCACCAACACUAGCCCAUUGGUAUUGAAUGCAUGGUUACAACCAAUUGGUCCUGGGUUCGAGCCCCAGGCCAGACUUUUUUUUGUGCAGAUUUCUUUUUCUAAAAUGAAUUUGGCAGUAACUUCUGAACUGUAGAAAUGGCAUUGUACAACAAAUCAAACAAAUUAACAUGUCCACAACACACAUUCUGAAUUUAAGCAGGCUAGUAGCACAACACACAUUUAGUAGCAGAACACAAACUUAGUACCAUACACUCAAACUAAGUAGCAGGACACAAACUUAGAUACAGAGUUUCAAUAGUUUCCACUAGCAUUGAAAUAGGAUGCAAACUUGCUAGGAGGUUUCCUAUUCCUCUUGCCUGCCAAUAUCCCUGGUUCUCCAGUGGAUGUUCUUGGUGCAUUGAAUGUUCUUGUUGAUGCUGAUCCUCUUGGAGCUCUUCUUGAUACUGAUCGUGUUGCAGGUGCUGGUGAAGACCUGGCUGCUCCUGCUGAAACUGUUGAUGUUGAACCUCUCUUACUUGUUGUUGUUUUUCUGUUCCUCGUUGCUUUAGGAGGUGGAGCAGAUGAUGCUGGCAUCUGUGAAGUUUGGUGUUGAGGUGGUGGUUGUAGAGGUGGAUGUGUAGCACUAGAGGAACCCCUAAAAAUUUCUCUAUUCUCAUGCAUGACAAAAUUAACUCGGUUAGUAAAUAGACCAGACCUAAAAUAAUGAAACAAAUAAUGCGACAUUUUUGAAUGACCUGGUGUAAGUUCUUUCUCAUCUUAAGACUAGGUUUUAGAGCUUUCCCACAGUUUGUAUAUCUGUGGCCUUGUAGACCACAAUUGCUGCAUGUAAUUGUUCCCAUCGUGCUUGUGUCCUUUGGUGCAGACACCUCAAACUGGCCCUUUCUCCUAGUUGUCUGUUUCUUGCCUGCUUUUUCUUUGAACACUGGGGGCUCAAUAUCCUGAGUAUGGGUGUCAGACCAGAAUUCAGGACCAGGGACAUGGUACACUAUGUCUUUGUAUGCUUCAAUAUAUAGUGCUUUUUUGAAAAAUUGAUGCACAUAGUCCUCUGGGUGCAUGUGAAUCUUGCUCAUUACUGCUAUUGCAUGACUGCAUGUCACACCUGUCAUGUCCCACCUCCUGCAGUCACAUGAUUUACUAGCUAGGUUCACACAGUACUGAUUUUCCUUACUAGACACUUGCCAAAUGUCAGGACCUGCCUUAUAUGCAUCACAAAAUUUGGCAUACUUAUUAUUCUCCUCUAGUUUCUCUUAAUAGUUGGGUGUGAUCAUCCACCUAUUGUUCUCUGUUUUUCCCUAGUCUUCUGCCUUUUGAUUAUCUGCUUAGUCCUAAUUCCUUCAAACAUAGUCCUAAUUGGUUUGGCCCUAACAUCAAGGAUCAUUUUGUUGAAAACCUCACUAAGGUUGUUCACAACAAGAUCAGUUUUGCAAUUGUAAUCCAUUGCAGACCUACACCAAGUCUCCUUUGGAAUUUUUUAAGUCACUUCCAGGCAUCCUCACGCUCUUCUUUAAGCUCUGCCAUUGCUAAUUCAUGGCCAUGUUUGGUGAAUGAGUAGCUAGCCUGAUCUACUAGCUUCUUUAGUUCUGCUCCUCUGAAACCAGCUGACUGAAAAUUUGCAUAUAUGUGCCUGAGGCUGUAUCUCUGAGGGGAAUCAGGGAACACCUCAUUUAUAGCCUUAAGAAGACCCUUAUUGUAAAUUAAUAACCAUGGUCAUGAACAAAAAUAAAUAAAGCUACUAAUAACAAUAUAUAUCUGAACUACUGGCUAAGAUAGGGUGCAUACCUUUUGCCUGUCAGAAAUAAUGGUGUAGGUUCCAAAUUUGCUACCACUUCCAAUGCAACAUCUUAGCUGGGUUAGGAACCAUGUCCAACUCUCUGAAUCUUCCUUAUCAACCACACCAAAGGCUAUGGGGUAGAUGUUGUUGUUGCCAUCUCUUCCUGUGGCUGCAAGAAUUUGCUGUCCAGUGGUUAGCUUGAUGAAGCAACCAUCAAGCCCUGCAUCCAUACCCAAAUUAGCUACCAUAAAUUUACAACAAGAUAUUUCGAACAAAAUGCAGUUAUAGAUUUACCUAUAAAGGGCCUGCAACCAUUAAGAAAUCCUUGCUUUGAUGCAUGCAAGCAGUAGAACAUGUACUUAAAUCUAGGAGUUGGGGCAGGGUUUUCUGGGUCCUCAAAUGUUGUAACUACACACCUGCUACCAGGGUUUGUGUCAAGAACUACUUGUAGGUAGUCCCUCAGUCUAUAGUAUUGCUCCUUCUAGUCACCUUGUGCAACCUUAAUAGCCUUCCUCUUGCCCUAUAGGCCACACUCUUUGAUACAUCAACUGAAAACUUGACUUUGCUGUUUUUAAUAAGUGAAUCCACAUGUGCCCUAGGAUCUGCUCUAAGAGAAGGCUCAACUGCUUUGGAAAGCCACUUAGUAGUAACCUUUGUGUUCUCUGCUGAUGCUGGACAAGUGUGCUCCAUGUUACACUUCUUAAUGCAAAAUGUUCUUUCAUGAGCAAUCCUGGAGGCACACAUGUAAAAUUUACAUCCAUGCUCUCUCUGUGAACACGAAACAAUAAUUCUUGUUGGAGUGUUCCUGUGGUAGUGAAAAGACCUCAAAGUCCUUAUAUGAAAUUCUAUUAAUGCUUCUCUGAACUGGUAAACAAUAUCAAAACACAAGCUCUUACACAAGAGUAAAUGUGAAUUGGGAAUUGAGGGGUCAAAAUAUAGCCUUUCCUUCAUCUUUUUCUUACUACUCUUUGUCUUUGGCUUCUUCAUGAGGUAUGGUAGUUCACCUUCAUCUUCUUCUUCCUCAUCACUUAUGCCCGCAUCACCAGCAAAACAAAACUCAUCUGCUUCAGGAAACCAAUCUUCAAAACGUUUUUUCUCCACCUCAUUGUGACAUCUGCUAGUUGGACCAGGAUUCUUCACAUGUUUCACAAUAGCAAUAGUUUGCAAUGUUGUAUCCUCUUCAGAGGCACACUCUAUUUCCAUUUGUUGAACAACUUCAGCACUCCCAUCUGAAUGAAUUAAAUUCUCAGAACAAAAUUCAGACACUUCAGUGUCUCCUUCAAAGUGGUUCAAAUCUGCCUCUCUUUGAAUCCUGCUCCUCUCAAGCUGAGCCUUUCUAUCAUCUAUCUGAUUCUGAAGCUCAAAUUGCUCCACAACAUUUUUCACACAACAGCUCUCUUGAGUGUUCAUGUAAUUCUCAUUAGCAUGUGUACUAAUUCCAGGUUCAACAUUUCUCACAACCUUUAUGUUCACUAGCUUGACAUGAUGAAAAAACUCCAACAUUUCAUGAACACUAGCUUCAUUACCUAAAUACUUUACUCUUUGAGAUCCAAUUUCCUCCUCCUUCACAUAGUACAUGUAAUCACUGUCCCCAUACCCUUCACUAGCAAUGAGUGAUUGUAGAGUAAGCAAAGAAAUAUCUAACUCAAAUAUACCCCUUUUCACAGGGUUUCUUCCUUCUAAAUGAAACCAUAUCUCCCACUUCUGGUCAGCAAAACUGCACAAAUAAGUGCUCAUGAAUUGAAUUGAAAUUAACUGAGCUACAAGUGCAAUAUAGUUUACUGACUCCGGUUUACUAAACAUGUCCAACUAACAGAAACAAACAUCUUACUAAUUUGCCAGAUUGAAGCAGCUAACCAAAGGCCCAGCAGAUGAUACUUGCAUACUUGCAACCCAUUGGCGAUGACUGGGAGAGUGGUGUCUCCUGCUGCGAGCCGGCCUGCGUCGAGAAACUGGUGCUCCCCAACCAAUUAUCGACUGAGCCGCUGGCUAGUGGUGGAGGCGCGGGCGAGGCAACAGCGUCCAAACUUGUGUCACCGCCGCCAGCGUCGCCACCGCCAACAUCGCCGUCGCCAGCGCCGCCACCCUCUGGAAUCAACGAGGACAUGGCGGCCGCCACCUAGUCCAGAGAGAGGGAGAGGAGGGAGAGAGUGAAGCGAGAGGGGAACGGAUCAGAUCUUGACCCACACCCGACCGACAGCCGCCGUUCCGACAGCGGACGGGCCGUUAACGGCCGUCAACGCGCGGCGGCCAUCCGUUGGCCAGCGUGGCAACUGAUUCGCGGGCCCAACCGGUCAGAUUCGGGGUUAGCGCGGGCGAAGCGAGUGCUUUCGCGACUUGGUAGUUUUUUUUGCCACGGUUUAGGACAAAUUUGAUAGUUUUUCGCACAAAAUUGUAGAGUGGUAGUUUUUCGUCACGUUUCCGUCAAUUGUGGUAGUUUUUGGUUAAACACUCCAUAAAUCUCACACGUGCUAGUGCUAUCAUGCUAUGAGAUACUCUUCGACCUGUGAUUGAUUGCCUCCCUGUUUCGCCCCGUUUCAGUUCUGAUUCUGAAGACCAGUCCUGCCACGCGACACAGCAAUGAUACUCGUGGAGUCGUGGUUCCGAAGAGUCCUGCAUUUGUAUAGAUCAAGCCUUGUGAUUGCUAACCACGCGUUCUGCGCGGUUGUUUGUUUAUUUCCCUUUUUGUCCAAAGAAUUGCGUGGUUACUCCGUGUAUCGAUCGGCCGUACUGUCGCAGAUACGCCCGGUCCCAUAGACUCCUUAUACAUGUCCUAUACUCUUGAGCUGACCGGCAUCCCUCAUAUCUAACCUAAAUCUGGACCGGAUAUAGGAAGGCCUGGACACGCCUGACGCGUCGGACCAGACAGGCCAAACCCAUUGUAAACGGCACCAAAAUGACAAGUCCACCGUUAUCCUCACACUUCCUUCCAGUAUUUCCAGCGUCCGGAGAGACAGUUUUACUUCGGUCUCUUUUCUUCAUGAGCGUAGAAACCACAAUUUCGAGGCUCAUAUUCUCAUCAAGUUUGCUUGUAAUUUAGGAAUAGGUCAUCAUAUUUGAUUGGGCAUCCCACAUAACCAACGUCUUGUACCUAUGAACAUUGUCUAAUUAAUAAAGUGGCAAGAUUCNNNNNNNNNNNNNNNNNNNNNNNNNNNNNNNNNNNNNNNNNNNNNNNNNNNNNNNNNNNNNNNNNNNNNNNNNNNNNNNNNNNNNNNNNNNNNNNNNNNNNNNNNNNNNNNNNNNNNNNNNNNNNNNNNNNNNNNNNNNNNNNNNNNNNNNNNNNNNNNNNNNNNNNNNNNNNNNNNNNNNNNNNNNNNNNNNNNNNNNNNNNNNNNNNNNNNNNNNNNNNNNNNNNNNNNNNNNNNNNNNNNNNNNNNNNNNNNNNNNNNNNNNNNNNNNNNNNNNNNNNNNNNNNNNNNNNNNNNNNNNNNNNNNNNNNNNNNNNNNNNNNNNNNCCUUGGCGUCGUCUGUGGAACCGAGCUGCAAGCCAGAGAACUUUGCCCAGAGGGACCGUUGAAGGAGGCAGCGCGAGAGGGAAGCUGCAUCAUAGGGAUUUCCACCCAAGUAUGUUGUGCGUGGACCUCGAGGAAGAUGUGUCCCCUCGGCCCCCACCCCCAUCCAUCCUGCCACCAACAAGGAAGGUGGCGUCGCUCGCCCCAGCCGUGACCAACGACAAUCCAACGGCUGGAUGUGCCAUUUCAGACUGUUUUCCACCAACGCAAGCGGCGGGGGAUAACAUGUGUGACUCGUCAUAGCUACAACGGGAGCAGACAAACACGGGCAGCGACGGCGCCAGGUCUGACCAUGUCCUAUUUGAUUGAAUGACGCAGCAGGAAACGGUACAUAUUUUGCUCCUUUCCUACCAAUACCUUGCAUAUGCCAUUGAAUCAAUUACAAUUAGUUGCAUGUACCGUUAGUUUAUUUGCAGUCAUCAUAAUUUUAGGACAAUCUCCCAAAUGAACUAUUACUUCGGGGAUUUAAAUUGUCCUACGUUUGAAGUUGGCGAAUCAUCAAACUCCAAAAGGAAAAGAAAGGCAAAGACACCCAACGUAAGAGGUCUGACAUUCACAAUAUUUGAGGGUAUCUUCUUGGUAAAAGCUUGGUUGGUCACAAGCAUGGAUCCUAUAUGUGGCACGGAGCAAAAAGGAAAGCAAGUAUUGAGAAAAGAUUUGGAAGCGUUAUCAUGAACACAAGGAUAUAUGCGCAGCCACAUCCUAUCAUUAACACCAGCAAUAUGCCCUCUCUCUAACAUUUUUUUUUUGCGGGGGCCCUCUCUCUAACAUUGACGGUCCAUCUAUAAGAGGAAGUGAACGAGUAUGUCGGCUAUUAUGCACAAGUGUUUGGCCGCCCUCACAGGGAGAUAGGAGUGUCAACCACAAUAAGUUGAAUUGUUCCAUUUUGUCACUGAGAGAGGGUGAACACCAAGUUGUAAGUUAAGUGAAGCAAGUUAGCAAAUUGUGAGGGAAAAUAUAGAGUUGGAGAAGAAAAAUAUGUGUCUUAAAUAGGAGCUCGAGAAGGCCUCCUAGAGGCAUAGUUACAUGAAUUUAGCCUAGCAGUACAUGUGAAGCCGCUGGUACACGCAUCCGAAAAAGAAUCUGAGCAUGUCGCGGAUGCUCGCACAUGCCGCGAUCUCCAAACUUGCCAUGCCGAGCGCGUGCGUAUGGAAACGGAACCGAUCGCGGCGGAGGGCUGCUGGGCUGGCUACCGUGGGAUGAUGAUGUUUGACAGGUGGCGGCAGAUGCGAUGCGGUAUGCACGGUUCCACAUUUGGAGACGGGAUCCAAAAAAUCUUUUCCUCCACCACCACCGUGUGUGCUCGUGCCGGGCUUGCCUCGAUGCCCUCUCGUGCGCUCGCAGAGCAGAAGUACAUUGGUAAAGUAUAACCAACUUGCUAGAUAUCGUUGUUCAUGGCGAUCUGCUUGCAGAAUUAUGCCGUUAGAAUAUACAGUAUCUUCGUUCUUGAAUGAUACAUAACUUCAUACUACGUACUGUCUGACCACCGGUGUUUUUCUUCGUUGUCAGCAGCAUCAUGGGUGCCGGCGGCAGGAUGACAGAGAAGGAGCGGGAGCUGCUCGGCCGCGGCGGCGCCAGCACGACCUUCCAGCGCUCGCCGACGGACAAGCCGCCGUUCACGCUGGCCCAGAUCAAGAAGGCAAUCCCGCCACACUGCUUCGAGCGCUCGGUGAUCAAGUCCUUCUCCUACCUGGGCCAUGACCUCGUCAUCGUCGCGGCCCUACUGUACGUGGCGCUGGUCUGGAUCCCCACCCUCCCGAGCGUGCUGCAGCUGGGCGCCUGGCCGCUCUACUGGGUCGUGCAGGGCUGCGUCAUGACCGGCGUCUGGGUCAUCGCGCACGAGUGCGGCCACCACGCUUUCUCCGACUCCUCGCUGCUCGACGACAUCGUCGGCCUGGUGCUCCACUCGUGGCUGCUCGUCCCCUACUUCUCGUGGAAGUACAGCCACCGCCGCCACCAUUCCAACACGGGCUCGCUGGAGCGCGACGAGGUGUUCGUCCCCAAGCAGAAGGAGACGCUGGCGUGGUACGCCCCCUACAUCUACAGCAACCCCGUCGGACGUCUGGGGCUCCUCGUCGUGCAGCUGACCAUCGGGUGGCCGAUGUACCUGUCGCUCAACACCUGCGGCCGCCCGUACCUGCGCUUCGCCUGCCACUUCGACCCCUACAGCCCGAUCUACAACGACCGGGAGCGCGCCCAGGUUUCCAUCUCGGACGUCGGCGUGCUGGCCGUGUCCCUCGCCUUGUCCAAGCUCGCGUCGGCCUUGGGGUUCUGGUGGGUGGUGCGGGUCUACGGCGUGCCGCUGCUGAUCGUGAACGCGUGGCUGGUCCUGGUCACCUACCUGCAGCACACCCACCCGGCGCUGCCGCACUACGACUCGACGGAGUGGGACUGGCUGCGCGGGGCGCUCGCCACCAUGGACCGCGACUACGGCAUCCUCAACCGCGUGUUCCACAACAUCACGGACACGCACGUGGCGCACCACCUCUUCUCCACCAUGCCGCACUACCACGCCAUGGAGGCCACCAAGGCGAUCAAGCCCAUCCU